CAACCUUAGAUCAGAUGUGGUGACUCAUCGAAUUUAAGCAUAUUACUAAGUGGUGGAAAAGAAAAUAAACAGUAACGGCGAGUGAAGAGGGAAGAGCCCAGUGCUGAAUCUCAACUCAUGUGACGGGUGCAGGGAAAUGUGAUGUACAGAAGUCUGUCUCCCCAGUGCCACCCAGGGGGCCCAAGUCCUUGUGAUCGAGGCUCAGCCCGCAGAUGGUGUGAGGCUGGUGGUGGCCCCUGGCGUGUCAGGAUCAGGUCUUUCCAGAGUCGGAUUGUUUGUGAAUGCAGCCCAAAGCAGGUGGUAAACACCAUCUAAGGCUAAACACUGGCAUGAGACUGAUAGUGGACUAGUACCAUAAGGGAAUGUUGAAAAGAAUUUUGAAGAGAGAGUUCAAGAGGGCGUGAAACCGUUCAGUGAUAAACAGGUAGGGUCCGCGGUCCACCCAGAGGAUUCAACCCGGCAGCUGCACCACCCACCAGGACAAGGCAGAUCUCCCUCCCCCUCCAGGGGGGUGGAGGAUCAUCUACAGGCAUGCCGGCCACUGUCGAACACACAUCCUCCAUGGCAGUGUGCAGAGACUAGCUCGGGGUCAGCCGGGAAGCCCGCAUGGAAUGUGGCUCCCUCCCUGAAGGUGAGUGUGACAGCCCACAGCAUGAGCCCUUGCCAUGCCCUGGGGUUGUGGGAGACAACUGCUGCUGCAUCUGCCCCCACUCUCAUGGUGGGGACUGGGGGGCCCCGGCUCCCAGUGGGACUGGCCUAGACUGCCCUCAAUGCAGCCAGACCACAUCCCACCUCCAGGCCAGCGGGCUCACCUUGGAUGUCUGGAGUCCACUGCGAUGUUGGUGAUGCACCCAUCCCAUCUUGAAACAUGACCAAAGAGUCUAACAGGUGCGCAAGUCCGAGGGUGGCAGGAGACCCUAUGGUGCAAUGAAAGUGAGGGCCGGUGUGCGCCGGCUGUGGAAGGAUCCUCCCACCAUGCUCACGGGGCACACCUGAGGCCUGUCUCACCCAUCCUGUCGGGGAGGUGGAGCGUGAGCACACCUGGUGGGACCUAAAAGAUGUUGAACUAUGCCUGGACAGGGUGACACCAGAGGAUACUCUGGUGGAUGUCCGUAGUGGUUGUGACAUGCAAAUCAGUUGUCCGACCUGGGUAUAGGGGUGAAAGACUAAUUGAACCAUCUAGUAACUGAUUCCGUUCAAAGUUUGCCUCAGGAUAGCUGGCACUCGGCGGACUCAGUUUUAUCUGGUAAAGUGAAUGAUUAGAGGUCUUAGGACUAAAUGAUCUCAACCUAUUCUCAAACUUUAAAUGGGCAUAAACCCCGACUCACUGGCUUGGAGCUAGGCAUGGAAUGUGAGCACCCUGUGGGCCACUUUUGAUAAGCAGAACUGAUGCUGUGGGAUGAUCCGAAUGCCAGGUUAAGGUGCCCAAUGCUGACACUCAUCAGACACCAGAAAAGGUGUCGGUUGAUGUAGACAGCAGGACGGUGGUAAUGGAAGUUGGAAUCUGCUAAGGAGUGUGUACAACUCAUCUGCCGAAUCAACUAGCCCUGAAAAUGGAUGGCACUGGAGCACCGGGCCCAUACCUGGCCAUAGCCAGCACUGGGAGCCAAGGGGGCUAUGCCGCAAUGAGUAGGAGGGCCACCGUGGUGGCACUGAAACCCAGGGCGAGGGCCCGAGUGGAGUAGUCGUGGGUGCAGAUCUUGGUGGUAGUAGCAAAUAUUCAAAUGAGAGCUUUGAAGGCCGAAGUGGAGAAAGUUUCCAUGUGAACUGCAGUUGAACAUGGGUCGGUCAGUCUUGAGAGAUAGGCAAGUGCUGUUCCGAAGGGAUGGGUGAUGGCCUCUGUCGCCCUCAGCCGAUUGAAAGGGAGUCGGUGUUCAGAUCCUCGAAUCUGGAGCAGCAGAGACGGGCACCUCGCGGCAUCCAGUGUGGUGAUGCAAACGAUCCCAGAAAAGCUGGCAGGGGCUUCUGGGAGACUUCUCUUUUCUUUGUAAAGGGCAGGGUGCCCUGGAAUGGGUUCUCCCUGAGAGAGGGCUCAAUGCCCUGGAAAGCAUUGCGGUUCCAGCAGUGUCAGAUGAGCUCUUGCCGGCCCUUGAAAAUCCAGGCGAGAGGGUGUAAGUCUUGAACCAGGCCAUACCCAUAUCUGCAGCAGGUCUCCAAGGUGAACAACUUCUGGCAUCUUAGAACAAUGUAGGUAAGGGAAGUUGACAAGCCAGAUCUGUAACUUCGUGAUAAGGAUUGGCUCUAAGGGCUGGGUUGGUCAGGCUCGGGCGUGAAGCGGGGCUGGGUGCACACCGUGUCUGGAUGAGGCGUCAUCUCCUUGCUGUGCUACCCCCUCCCAGCAGGGCUGAGGGGAUGGUGGCAGUGACUCUAGACACACACUGGGCCCUUCCUGUGGAUUGCCCCGGCUGUGGUGGGCACCUGUCCCGACCAGCAUCAUGCAUCAUCCGGCAGCUAUCAGCUGACUUAGAACUGGUAUGGACCAGGGGAAUCUGACUGUUUAAUUACAACAAAGCAUCACAAAGGCCCGAGACAGGAAUUGACAUGAUGUGAUUUCUGCCCAGUGCUCUGAAUGUCAAAGUGAAGAAAUUCAAUGAAGCGUGGGUAAACGGCAGGAGUAACUAUGACUCUCUUAAGGUAGCCAAAUACCUCGUCAUCUAAUUAGUGAUGCACAUGAUUGGAUGAACAAGAUUUCCACUGUCCCUACCUACUAUCUAGCAAAACCACAGACAAGGGAAUGGGCUUGGCAGAAUCAUUGGGGAAAGAAGACCCUGUUGAGCUUGACUACUCUGGCUCUGUGAAGAGACAUGAGAGGUGUAGAAUAAGUGGGAGGCCUCGGCCACUGGUGAAAUACCACUACUCUUAUAGUUUUUUCCUUUACCAGGUGAGGCGGGGGUGAGCCCCACUGGGGCUCUGCUUCUGGCUCCAACGCCUGGGUAUCUGGGUGCAACCUGCUCUGGGGACAGUGUCAGGUGGGGAUUUUGACUGGGGCAGUACAGCUGUCAAAGAGUAAUGCAGGUGCCCUAAGGCGAGCUCAGGGAGGACAGAAACCUUCCAUGGAGCAGAACGGCAAAAGCUCGCUUGAUCUUGAUUUUCCAUAUGAAUACAGACCAUGAAAGCAGGGCCUCAUGGUCCUUCUGGCUUUUUGGGUUUUAAGCAAGAGGUGUCAGAAAAGUUACCACAGAGAUAACUGGCUUGUGGCAGCCAAGCAUUCAUAGCAGCUUUGCUUUUUGAUCCUUCGAUGUCAGCUCUUCCUAUCACUGUGAAGCAGAAUUCACCAAGCGUUGGAUUGUUCACCCACUAAUAGGGAACGUGAGCUAGGUUUUGACCGAUGUGAGACAGGUUAGUUUUACCCUACUGGUGAUGUGUUGUUGUGAUACUAAUCCUGCUCAGUACGAGAGCAACUGCAGGUUCAGACAUUUGGUGUAUGUGUUUCACUGAGGAGUCAAUAAUGUGAAGCUUCCAUCUGUGGGGUGAUGACUGAAUGCCUCUAAGUCAGAAUCCCUACUAAACAUAACGAUACCGCAGAUCUCCAGUUGGCCAAGGAUAGCUGGCCGCAAGGUCGGUGAGGAGCGCCGCUCAUCAUGGGUCAGAGUGCAGAUGCAAGGGGGCCACCUCCAUCCAGCAAUGUACCACACGUUCAUGGGGAACUGGGUGCUAAAUCAUUUGUAGAUGACCUGAUUCUGGGUCAGGGUUUCACACAUAGCAGAGCAGCAAAAAGCUGCAAUCUAUUGAAAGUCAGUCCUCGAGCCAAGCAUUUGU